GCCGAGGUAGCUCAGUCGGUAGAGCAGGGGACUGAAAAUCCCCGUGUCGGCGGUUCAAAUCCGUCCCUCGGCACCA
rnacentral:tRNA from 1 species